rnacentral:rRNA from 1 species
UACGGAGUGUGCAAGCGUUACUCGGAAUCACUGGGCAUAAAGCGCGCGUAGGCGGGUUUUUAAGUCGAUUGUGAAAUCCCUCAGCUCAACUGAGGAACCGCAGUCGAUACUGUUAAUCUUGAGGACGAGAGGGGAGAGUGGAACUUCUGGUGGAGCGGUGAAAUGCGUAGAUAUCAGAAGGAACGCCGGUGGCGAAAGCGACUCUCUGGCUCGUAUCUGACGCUGAGGCGCGAAAGCUUGGGUAGCAAACGGG